GUUGCUGCUUUAUAAUUUUUUUUUUUGGGCUGCAUUUGUACUCCAGCUGCUACAAUAGACCUUCAAAAUUAAGGCCCACUCACUAAAAAUAAUUUCUGACUUACCGCUUACAAGAAUAAGCAUAUCAAAAUUUUUUGAUCCCAGAAAAAUCGUUCCUCUCCUUGAUUACAAAUCUGCCCUAGUGUAUCUAUACUUGUUUCACAUUCAACUCCUUGUUUAGUGAAGCUAUCAUCACCCUUCCUGAUUUCGCCGUUCAUUCUCCACCGGUGUAUCGAUGACAUCACUCUACAACACCACUAUGAAUUCAAGGGAAACUAUGUCUGCAACAACUUUUACUAGACUAGUCAAAGCCAUGGUCAAGAAAUACGACCUAAUUAUGGUGAUAUACGUUACAUGUUGCAGAAUGUGUUUCCCAUGCACACCCCAAAUAUGGAUGAAUAUGGAGAAGAAAGUAAUUUACCAAAACCAUCUAAUCAAGGCUCAAGUGCCCAACGACCUCAAGAAGAUCCUAAUGAAGAUGCACACAAAUUUUACGACUUACUCAAAGAUGAUAAGAAGCCUUUGUAUGAAGGGUGUAAGAAUUUUAGCAAGUUGUCAACCAUUGUACAUCUGUAUCACUUGAAAUGUCUUAGUGGAUGGAGCAAUCACUCAUUCACAAUGUUGCUUCAAAAUUUUGAAAGAUAUGCUUCCUUCAUAUGCAAAUUUAUUAAAAGACUAUUAUGAUGUCAAGAAGAUUAUUAAGGAUUUAGGUCUUGAUUAUGAAAAGAUUCACGUUUGUCCUAAUGAUUUUAUGUUAUUUUGGAAGGAACAUGCAAAUAAUGAAGUGUGUCAUUAUGGUGCUUCAAGGUAAAUGGGGAUGAUUUGGAGCAUAAUACGAGUACUUCAUCUAAAAAGAGAAAGAAAAAGGCUGCAAAGGUUUUACGGUUGUUUCCCUUAAAGCCUCGAUU